UGGAACCAGCAGUUCUUCCAGUGACGUUGUUCUGGGCGGUAGACGUUUAAUAACGGAAGUUUGCUAAGUGAUAUGUUUGUCACCAGGAUUAGCGUAUACGAUUCCUCCUUAAUUUAUCGCAGCGUAAUUGGUUUUGUUGUGAAGUUUUUACGAAGAAGCCGCUUAUCACCCGACUAAAUUACAGUUGGAGAUUUCGAUUUCCACAGAGUUUUGGCACUUGGUUGGUCAGGUUAAAACGAACCCAGAGCUUCUGCAACGUAAGACUAUAACUUCACUGUAAUAUUGCUAGUACUUAUAUUUUAUUUCUGGGGAUUUUCGAAUCUUGCUGCGUGUUUAGGCGGUUACAAAUCUUUGGUAGCCAUUAUAACGAGAUGACGUGUUUAGUAAGAAUGACUUAGAGUUCCUGCUCUAACGGUAAAGCUGAAUAAAGCAUGAUAAAGCUUCUCUUUAGUAACGGAACCCUCGCCGGUUCUCCGUUGUAUGGCCCUCAUUCGCAUACUCCAGCAAAACCACCUUAGGUCCUACGGCCAGGAAGUUCCAGGGAGUGCCAUAUCUGCAGUGCCAAAGUGAUAAUCUUUCGCUGUAGUGUUGUAUACCACUGUACAUUGUGAUAUCUUUUGAGCUAUUGCAGUUCUUAAUCCUUAGUGUACUAAUUUUAGUUGUAGUAUUGUUUACUUGCUAACUGGCACUGGUCUUAUGUCUUACCUUGUGAUUUAACGUAAACUUGAAGUGCCACGGAGACUGCUAGUUCUCUUUGUGCUCAUCUGAUACCUCUAUUGAGAAUUAUAAUGCUUAAUUGUAUUACCUGAUUAUAUUCUUAAAAUCCUUAUUUCUGAAUCAUCCUGUUAUAAGACUACUCAAGUAGGGUUUAUUUUCCCUGUUCUGUUUAUAUCUGCCAAUCCACCCCGGCAGAUAAA